AAUUCACUCACCAAAAAGUCUUUCCAUUUCCGUUUCCUCUAAAUUCUCUCUCUCUCUCUCUCUCUCUCUCUCUCUCCCCGCGUUCUCAAUCUCUCCAAAUCAAGGGUUCCUACUUGUUUGCUGUUUCAGCCAGCUCCAUCUCCGCGAUCAUCAAGUUUUCAUGGAGGGUACGGAAGAGACAAAUAAGUCUGAGGCACACUUGACAUCAGCUGCAGCUUUUGUGGAAGGUGGAAUCCAGGAUGCCUGUGAUGAUGCUUGCAGCAUAUGCCUUGAAGCUUUCUGUGACAGUGAUCCUUCAACUGUAACUAGUUGCAAGCAUGAGUUCCAUCUUCAAUGCAUUCUUGAAUGGUGUCAAAGAAGCUCCCAGUGCCCUAUGUGCUGGCAACCUAUCAGCCUGAAGGAUCCUACAAGUCAAGAAUUGCUUGAGGCUGUGGAACGUGAGAGGAGUUUUAGGUUUAAUCCAUCUAGAAACAGCACUAUAUUUCAUCAUCCAACUCUGGGUGAUUUUGAGUUACAGCAUUUGCCAGUUGGUGUGAAUGAUGCUGAACUUGAAGAGCGUAUUAUCCAACACUUAGCUGCUGCUGCUGCAAUGGGACGACGUCACAUUGCUAGAAGGGAAGGUCAGAGAACCAGAUCAUCAGCUCAAGGUCGACCGCAGUUUUUAGUAUUCCAAAGUCCUAAUGUCCCAGCUGGACAAAUUUCUUCCUCUCCAGCUCAGAGAGUUGAAGGUGAAUCUGUUGCUACAAUCUCAGUACCUACACUAUCAUCCCCUUCUACGCAUGUUUUGGAAGAAUCUUUACAGCCAAUUAUACCUCAAUCAUCUGAUGUUCAAGCUGAUGGAGCAUCUGCUUCAGCUUCUGGAUCUAGUAUUCUUGCCUCCAAUCAACACGAAAAUUCAUUGAAUAAUAGGAGGUCUCCUAAUCAGUCUUCCCCAAGUAGCCAAGACAGAGCUGGACCAUCAGAAUCACAAUCUUUUUCAGAUUCAAUCAAAUCUAAACUAAAUGCUGUUUCAAUGAGAUACAAAGAAUCAAUUUCAAAGAGUACAAGGGGAUGGAAAGAUAGGUUUUUCUCCCGUAGCACUACUAUGGCAGAACUUGGUUCUGAGGUAAGAAGAGAGGUUAAUGCUGGAAUCGCAACAGUAUCACGAAUGAUGGAGCGUCUAGAAACCAGAGAAAACAACAGAACUGGUGUUUCUUCUGUAUCAGACAGUGAGGAGGCUACCUCAGCAACAGAAUCAAACAACAGACAAAUAUCAGAGACUGGUGGUCACCAUUUUAUCAGCAAUACAAAUGCCAAUGCACAAGCUCCAUUUGCUGCGAGUUCUGGUUCAGAUUAAGUAUAAUUUCAGUAAUUGCAUCAACCUAUUAAGAUAAAAGUUGCUUAUUGAAUGGAUCUCCAACAAAAUGAUCCAUAGCACGAACCUUCAGAGUCUUCUGUUUACGCACAUGUCUGGGAAAAAACUUGUCUUCACAUCUGAAACAAUGCUUAAGCUGCCUAAACUUUGGUUGGUUAGCCUGUUUGACUACUGGGGUAGAUUUGAUAGUUGGUUGGUUAACAGAACUGGUACUGGAAGUAGGCUGGGAUAGUUUUGGAGCAACUGAAGUAGUGAAAUGGACAGGGAAUUGGCUUUUUCUAUGUUAGGAGGCUCUGGAGAAUAUGAAAAUUUUUGGUGUAAUUGGGAAGUCUUGUAGGUUACAAGCAUGCAUCACUGGGGCUGUUUGCAAAACUGGAAAACCAACCCAGAUAAUGUGAAGUGCAUGUUCUAUUAAGAUUGGUCAUUAAACUGAAACUUCAUAGUUGGUUUUAGUUUGGUUAAGAUAAAAGGUUUCAGUUUAUUCUUAUCUGACUAAUAUGUGUAUUCAAUAGAAGUUGCUUUGUUUUCUCUUUAUAAGUGAUUUCAUCACCAAUUAUUUUUAUAUAAAAUAAUAUUUACCACCACUUGUUAUUUCAUUUUGCUCUAAACUUGCUUCUAUUUUCAAAAACAGCAUACUAUAUAAACUGAAGUUUACCAUGUAAAUUGUCUCUUCUUUAAACUCUUUAUCUAUUCCAUUUUCAAAACCUGGCCUCCUUGAUCUACUAGAAAUUAUUGAGAAGCUAAUGAUGAUGUCUCCAUGCCAUCCAAUCUUUUUUUUCUUGUUACUCACUUGUGUAAAAGUCCCUUCUUCUUAUUCAACCUAUACCCCUAUUCCAUUUUCAAAACAUGGCCUCCUUGAUAAUCAACAAUAUUGAAAAGCUAAUGAGUUCCUGCAUGCCAUCCUAUCUAUUUUUAAUUCAUUUGUUCCAACCCGCCCCCUUCCUUUUUUUUUUUUCAGUUCUUGAGCACAUAUCCCCUGUAAUUUCCAGAUGGGAUUUUGUAGGUGAAAUGAAGGAAUGCUAUCGUGGAUAAGAUAUUGUCCUCGUCUGUCUAAUGUAUAAGAGGGUGCAAUUGGUGAUUAAGAUCCAUCUGAUUCAUAAUAAACAUGCUGGAGCAAAAGGUCUUUUAUUUGGACUCUCAUACUGCUAGAUUAUUGUAAAAAAAGGAUAAAUCUAUUUAUAGUUUAAUUUCACAUUAGCUUUUCCUAAAUAUUUAAGAUUAUAGUAUGAUUACUCUUUGGAUAUUUUCCUCCAAA